UGCUAUACGUCAAAAAUUACAGACCAUCUAAGGAAAAUGUUGUUCGUUGAGAAAUUGGAAGAACCCAUCUGAGUAACUAAUUUCAAAACAUGCCAAAAAGCCACAACCGUGCCGGUUUGAAUAAUGCAGAUGUAACUUGAUUCAAGUUACUUCCUUGCCCUGCUAAGCCUCUGAAGGUGAUAAUUGAUGCUACCCCAUGGCUUUCUGUUUUUGCCACUCU
rnacentral:lncRNA from 1 species